rnacentral:rRNA from 1 species
AGAGCGAACGCUGGCGGCAGGCCUAAUACAUGCAAGUCGAACGGAUCCUUCGGGAUUAGUGGCGGACGGGUGAGUAACACGUGGGAACGUGCCCUUUGGUUCGGAACAACUCAGGGAAACUUGAGCUAAUACCGGAUGUGCCCUUCGGGGGAAAGAUUUAUCGCCAUUGGAGCGGCCCGCGUCUGAUUAGCUAGUUGGUAGGGUAAAGGCCUACCAAGGCUUCGAUCAGUAGCUGGUCUGAGAGGAUGAUCAGCCACACUGGGACUGAGACACGGCCCAGACUCCUACGGGAGGCAGCAGUAGGGAAUCUUGCGCAAUGGGCGAAAGCCUGACGCAGCCAUGCCGCGUGAAUGAUGAAGGUCUUAGGAUUGUAAAAUUCUUUCAGCGGGGACGAUAAUGACGGUACCGCAGAAGAAGCCCCGGCUAACUUCGCGCCAGCAGCCGC